CUCAGUGUUUCCUUCUGAGCACAGGGGAAGUUCAGUGCUUUUCCAUGCAACAGGAAGGAAAGCUAUUCACUGUGUGACAGCCAUGCUGACUCAGCAGCUUCCUGCUGUUCUGUAGGAGGAGAACAGUUUGUGGAGUGCAUGUGCAGACAAAACCGCUGUGAUCCACAAGGCUGCUGGGUCAGAGAGUCGAUCUGCCCUGCUCUACAGGCCUAUCAAAGCACCUCAGCAAAGAGCUCAGUGUUGUGAGCUGCUUCUGAUGCCAGACAAAGUCUGUCUGAACCGCGGGAUCGCAGGGGCUGGAAAGAACCUCAAAGAGCAUCGAGUCCAACCCCCUGCUGAGGCUGGGCCUUGGAUGCUGCCAUAGGAGACUCCACAGCCCCUCUGGGCAUCUCGUGCCUUAGUGUAAGUAACUUCUUCCUUAUUUCUAGUCCAGAUCUUUUUUGGCUUGAGCCCUUUCCCUUGUCUUGUCACCACAGACGCCCUACGGAGCCCGACCCUUUCCUUACAGCCCCUUUCGACGCGGACCGCCCGCCCGCCAC
ensembl:lncRNA